rnacentral:lncRNA from 1 species
AUUAUAUGUGUUUUCUUCAAUGCCUUAUAACUCCUUCAUCUAGGCUUAGAAUUCAUCAAAUAAUAUAUAAAAAGUGUAGUUGAAAAAUUGCUCUCUCGAACUCUAGUUGCCAAUCCUUUGUUGCUCUCCGUAAGUAUAUGUUAUGUUCUAAAGACACACAUUAGAUACAAAAUUGAUACCUUAACUUUGACCGACUUCAAAUCCUUCAUAAAAACUUCAAAUCACACAAAAUUUGCAUCCAAACCAUAUCCAAAAACCUAAACUUAGUGAUCCUAGCCUCCAAUGCUCAAAUGACCUUGAAAGAGAAACCUUAACUCCUAAUAAGGCCUUGGGCAGCCUCCUUGAAGUCCAUUGGGCAUGACAUUUGACCAAUAGAAAUGAAGAUCUUUACUCCUUGCCUUCAUCCAACCAUACUUUGCUUUCAUCUUUCCUAAUCAGCCUCUUAAUA